rnacentral:rRNA from 1 species
GGCAGCAGCCGCGGUAAUACCGGCGGCUCGAGUGGUGGCCACUUUAUGGGCUUAAAGCGUCGUAGCUGGGUUAUUAAGUCCCUGGGAAAUCCGACAGCUUAACUGUCGGGCGUCUAAGAGAUACUGGUAAUCUUGGAACCGGGAGAGGUGAGGGGUACUUCGGGGGUAGGAGUGAAAUCCUGUAAUCCUCGAGGGACCACCUGUGGCGAAGGCGCCUCACCAGAACGGCUUCGACAGUGAGGGACGAAAGCUGGGGAGCAAACCGGAUUAGAUACCCGGGUAGUCCCAGCCGUAAACGAUGUGCGUUAGGUGUAUCGGUGACCACGAGUCACCGAGGUGCCGAAGGGAAACCGUGAAACGUACCGCCUGGGAAGUACGGUCGCAAGGCUGAAACUUAAAGGAAUUGGCGGGGGAGCACCACAACAGGUGGAGCCUGCGGUUUUAAAUUGGACUCAACGCCGGAAAUCUCACCGGAUAAGACAGCAGAAUGAUUGCCGGGCUGAAGACUCUGCAUGACUAGCUGAGUAGUGGUGCAUGG